rnacentral:rRNA from 1 species
UACAGAGGUCCCAAGCGUUGUUCGGAUUCACUGGGCGUAAAGGGUGCGUAGGCGGUCGGGUAAGUCUGAUGUGAAAUCUCACAGCUUAACUGUGAAACUGCAUUGGAUACUAUCCGGCUCGAGGAAUGGAGGGGAGACUGGAAUACUUGGUGUAGCAGUGAAAUGCGUAGAUAUCGAGAGGAACACCAGUGGCGAAGGCGAGUCCCUGGACACUUCCUGACACUGAGGCACGAAAGCUAGGGGAGCAAACAGG